CGAAGGGGGCGAGCGUUGUUCGGAAUCACUGGGCGUAAAGAGUGCGUAGGCGGUUAUGAAAGUUAGGAGUGAAAGCCCAGGGCUUAACCUUGGAAUUGCUUUUAAUACUACAUAACUCGAAUUCGGGAGAGGAUAGCGGAAUUGUCAGUGUAGCAGUGAAAUGCGUAGAUAUUGACAGGAACACCAGUGGCGUAAGCGGCUAUCUGGACCGACAUUGACGCUGAGGCACGAAAGCGUGGGGAUCAAACAGGAUUAGAUACCCUGGUAGUCCACGCCGUAAACGAUGUGUGUUUGUCGCUGGGGAGUUUACUCUUCGGUGACGGAGCUAACGCGUUAAGCACACCGCCUGGGAAGUACGGUCGCAAGAUUA
rnacentral:rRNA from 1 species